UCUGUCGCCGGAAAGAUGGUAC
rnacentral:miRNA from 1 species